CGCUGGCGGCGUGCCUAACACAUGCAAGUCGUGCGAGAAGUUCCUUCGGGAGCGAGUAAAGCGGCGCACGGGUGAGUAACACGUAGGUAACCUGCCCCCCAGUCUGGAACAACUAGAGGAAACUCUAGCUAAUGCCGGAUGAGACCACGAUCCCUUCGGGGGUUGCGGCCAAAGAUGGCCUCUACUUGUAAGCUAUCGCUGAGGGAUGGGCCUGCGGGCCAUUAGCUUGUUGGUGAGGUAACGGCUCACCAAGGCUGUGAUGGCUAGCUGGUCUGAGAGGAUGACCAGCCACACUGGGACUGAGACACGGCCCAGACUCCUACGGGAGGCAGCAGUGGGGAAUAUUGCGCAAUGGGCGAAAGCCUGACGCAGCGACGCCGCGUGGGUGAUGAAGGCCUUCGGGUCGUAAAGCCCUGUCGCAGGGGAAGAAUAAGCAUCGGUAUAAUACGCCGGUGCCCUGACGGUACCCUGCAAGAAAGCACCGGCUAACUCCGUG
rnacentral:rRNA from 1 species